UACAGAGGUGGCAAGCGUUGUUCGGAAUUACUGGGCGUAAAGGGCGCGUAGGCGGCCAUCUAAGUCAGACGUGAAAUCUCCCGGCUUAACCUGGGAACUGCGUCUGAUACUGGAAGGCUUGAGUAUGGGAGAGGGAUGCGGAAUUCCAGGUGUAGCGGUGAAAUGCGUAGAUAUCUGGAGGAACACCGGUGGCGAAGGCGGCGACCUGGGUAGAUACUGACGCUGAGGUGCGAAAGCGUGGGGAGCAAACAGG
rnacentral:rRNA from 1 species